rnacentral:tmRNA from 1 species
GGGGGCGAUCGGAUUUGACUGGGUCAUCGUCGAUCAGGGUGGCGUGUCGUGGUUGAUCAGUUGGCCACGUAAAAAGCUGAUCAAACAAUAACUGCAACACCGCAG